rnacentral:rRNA from 1 species
CGUAGGACACAAGCGUUAUCCGGAGUUACUGGGCGUAAAGGGCGUGUAGGCGGAUCAAUAAGUCUAUUCUGAAAGCUCCUGGCUAAACUGGGAGAGGCGAAUGGAGACUGUUGGUCUAGAGUGAGGAAGAGGAAAGUGGAAUUCCGCGUGUAGUGGUGAAAUGCGUAGAGAUGCGGAGGAACACCAGUGGCGAAAGCGGCUUUCUGGUCCUUAACUGACGCUGAGGCGCGAAAGCAUGGGGAGCGAACGGGAUUAGAAACCCCGGUAGUCCAUGCCGUAAACGAUGUUCACUAAAUGUUCGUUUCCCGCGAGGGAAGUGGGUAUUGAAGCUAACGCAGUAAGUGAACCGCCUGGGGAGUACGGUCGCAAGGCUA